GGRUGAGUAACACGUGGAUAACCUGCCCCAGAAGAUCUGGGAUAACGUGCCGAAAGGUGCGCUAAUACCGGAUACCUUUGUGCCUCACAAGAGGUAUMAAGAAAGGAGGCCUCUGCUUGCAAGCUUUCKCUUUGGGAUGGGUCCGCGGCCUAUCAKGUGAGUUGGUAGGGUAACGGCCUACCAMSCCUACGACGGGUAGCUGGUCUGAGAGGACGAUCAGCCACAUUGGGACUGASACACGGCCCAGACUCCUACGGGAGGCMGCAGUGGGGAAUAUUGGGCAAUGGGAGAAAUCCUGACCCAGCAACGCCGCGUGGAGGAUGAAGGCCUUCKGGUUGUAAACUCCUGUCAGCAGGGAAAAAGAUUGCAAAAGCUAAUACCUUUUGCAGUUUGAUGGUACCUGCUAAGGAAGCACCGGCUAACUACGUGCCASCAGCCGCGGUAAUACGUAMGGUGCAAGCGUUAUUCGGAAUCACUGGGCGUAAAGGGCGCGCAGGCGGUUUUGUAAGUCUAAAGUGAAAUCCUUGGGCUUAACCCAGGGGCUGCUUUAGAUACUGCAAAACUCGAGUUCGGGA
rnacentral:rRNA from 1 species